UCCCCUCGCUCUGUGUGUUCACGCGAAUAAAUUAUUCUUGUCUCUACGUCACCUUGUUCAUCAACGUGGUGCCGUGACCAGGAUCAAUCGGCAUAGACGAUCUCCAGAAGCACAACGUAAGGAGAUUACAGGCAUCUUGUUAGAGCCCAGAGCAGCAACCCCAGAUAUACCGACGUUUGUCCAGUUCCACGGAUGCCCUGAAACGAAGAUGUUGCAAACAUUGAUGAUGACGAAAGCUACCAAACGCUGUCCAGAAGCUGAACUUGCUACGGCUGCUCAACGGUGAACUCAAACCAUGGUUCAUGUGCUCAAGCAGCACGUGUACAUAUCACAUACUGGUAUGACGUCAGGAAGAGGAGAACGAAUGGAGCGCCUUCCUGAAUGCUAAUUCAAGAAUAUGGCGACAACCGCGUGAACGUGGAAUUUCCCGAGGAAGGUGCAGUAAAUGUGGAAAACAAAACUACAACGACAUAGCCGCGGACUCAUUUCAGUUGUCUUCUCAUUUACGUGUGUGACACAUUGCACUGAAUUUAAUUUUUGCUAAAACAAUCUUAUCACUCAGAAAUACAGCGACCACAUACGUA